AUACGUAGGUGGCAAGCGUUGUCCGGAAUUAUUGGGCGUAAAGCGCGCGCAGGCGGUCCUUUAAGUCUGAUGUGAAAGCCCACGGCUCAACCGUGGAGGGUCAUUGGAAACUGGGGGACUUGAGUGCAGAAGAGGAAAGUGGAAUUCCAAGUGUAGCGGUGAAAUGCGUAGAGAUUUGGAGGAACACCAGUGGCGAAGGCGACUGUCUGGUCUGUAACUGACACUGAGGCGCGAAAGCGUGGGGAGCAAACAGGAUUAGAUACCCUGGUAGUCCACGCCGUAAACGAUGAGUGCUAAGUGUUGGGGGGUUUCCGCCCCUCAGUGCUGCAGCUAACGCAUUAAGCACUCCGCCUGGGGAGUACGGUCGCAAGACUGAGACUCAAAUGAAUUGGCGGGG
rnacentral:rRNA from 1 species